ACUAUUUUGACAGAAGAAUGUGAUGGUUUUAGAAAUCAUUUAUAUAUAAUUUAGUUAUAUAGAUAGUA
rnacentral:tRNA from 1 species